rnacentral:rRNA from 1 species
UACGUAGGAUCCAAGCGUUGUCCGGAAUUACUGGGUGUAAAGGGUGCGUAGGCGGGCUUGUGCGUCAGAGGUUAAAUCCCACAGCUCAACUGUGGAGCUGCCUUUGAUACGGCAAGUCUUGAGUGUGAGAGAGGAUGGUAGAAUUCCUGGUGUAGCGGUGAAAUGCGUAGAUAUCAGGAGGAAUACCAGUGGCGAAGGCGGCCAUCUGGCUCAUUACUGACGCUGAGGCACGAAAGCGUGGGGAGCGAACAGG